GAUGAAGAACGUAGCAAAAUGCGAUACUUGGUGUGAAUUGCAGAAUCCCGUGAACCAUCGAGUUUUUGAACGCAAGUUGCGCCCGAAGCCUUUUGGCCGAGGGCACGUCUGCCUGGGCGUCACGCAUCGCGUCGCCCCCCACAACUCUCCGUAAAGGGAACUUGUGUUUUGGGGGCGGAUAUUGGUCUCCCGUGCUCAUGGCGUGGUUGGCCGAAAUAGGAGUCCCUCCGGUGGACGCACGAGCUAGUGGUGGUCGUAAAAACCCUCGUCUUUUGUUUCGUGCCGUUAGUCGCGAGGGAAACUCUUUAAAAACCCAAAUGUGUCGUCGCCUGACGGCGCUUCGACCGCGACCCCAGGUCAGGCGGGACUACCCGCUGAGUUUAAGCAUAUCAAUAAGCGGAGGA
rnacentral:misc_RNA from 1 species